rnacentral:rRNA from 1 species
GAUGAACGCUGGCGGCGUGCUUAACACAUGCAAGUCGAACGGUGAAAGAGAGCUUGCUCUCUGGAUCAGUGGCGAACGGGUGAGUAACACGUGAGCAAUCUGCCCCUGACCCUGGGAUAAGCGCUGGAAACGGCGUCUAAUACCGGAUACGAGCUGCGAAGGCAUCUUCAGCAGCUGGAAAGAACUUCGGUCAGGGACGAGCUCGCGGCCUUUCAGCCAGUUGGUGAGGUAACGGCUCACCAAGGCGUCGACGGGUAGCCGGCCUGAGAGGGUGACCGGCCACACUGGGACUGAGACACGGCCCAGACUCCUACGGGAGGCAGCAGUGGGGAAUAUUGCACAAUGGGCGAAAGCCUGAUGCAGCAACGCCGCGUGAGGGACGACGGCCUUCGGGUUGUAAACCUCUUUUAGCAGGGAAGAAGCGAAAGUGACGGUACCUGCAGAAAAAGCGCCGGCUAACUACGUG